rnacentral:antisense_RNA from 1 species
UUCAGUACGACAUUGCUCACAUUGCUUCCAGUAUUUCUUGCCCACUCUUGAGUGGGCUUUUUUU